AUUACUGAUGAGGCAAAGAUGUGGAGUAAGAUCAAGAGUUGUGCAACUCUUGAAUAAAAGAUAAGUGUUCUUAUGCUUUAUGUCAAAUUAUAUUAGUAAUUAUCUUUGUUAUACUUUAAUAUGUUUUUUUAUAUUUAGUUUGCUACUUUGUUGUGUAAAUUGUAGGAGACUUAAUGAAAUAUUGUCUAUCUCGGAGAACGCAGUCUAGCACCCUAAUUGUCGGAAGAGAAGAUUGAAUCACAUGCCCUCUACAAACUACAUAUUUUGGAGGAAACGGGAUUUGAGUUCGAACGAGCGUAAAACGCAAAUAAGGGAUGACUCCAUAGGGUCUAAUGUUUGUAAAUCACGUACGCUUCCUCGACUUGACCCGAGGUACAGAGGUUCGAGAUCCGCCAGUGUAGGCCACACAUUCUGCUACUACAGAGUGCUCCUUUGAUUCGGAGCCCAUAUUUGGUAUAUAUCUUUUGUCAUGCAUAUGCUUCUGUAUAUUUGACUAUUUGGGGUACGGCGGGGCCCUGUCCCGCCAUAUGUUCCGUUAUGAUGUGUAGAGGCCUGUAGUCAUAUAUGUGGGUCAUGGGUCAUGUGUGUGUUCGCUUUGGUUAUGAUUUGUGUCUUAAUGCGGUCCCGUCUGUUAUAGCGGCCAAAACGGCCCGUAUAUUUGUAUAUGUGCAUAUAUUCGGCGAUGUGUAUUCCGCCGCCCCUUUUGGCUCUGA